rnacentral:rRNA from 1 species
AACGAACGCUGGCGGCAGGCCUAACACAUGCAAGUCGAGCGGACCUUUCGGGGUCAGCGGCGGACGGGUGAGUAACGCGUGGGAAAAGGCCCUUCUCUCCGGAUAGUUCCGGGGAACCGGGGGUUAAUCCGGAAAAGGCCCUUGGGGGAAAGGUUUAACGGGGGAGGAUUAGCCCGCGUUGGAUUAGGGAGUUGGUGGGGGAAUGGCCUACCAAGCCGACGAUCCAUAGCUGGGUUGAGAGGAUGAUCAGCCACACUGGGACUGAGACACGGCCCAGACUCCUACGGGAGGCAGCAGUGGGGAAUCUUAGACAAUGGGGGCAACCCUGAUCGAGCCAUGCCGCGUGAGUGAUGAAGGCCUUAGGGUUGUAAAGCUCUUUCAGCUGGGAAGAUAAUGACGGUACCAGCAGAAGAAGCCCCGGCUAACUCCGUG